GGGGGCGACCAGGGUUCGACGGGAGUAUUGAGACGGAGGUUGCAUGUACGGGAUGCCGUUGGCCCGUUAAAAAACGGCACUAUUCCAUAAUCGCCAAUGAUUAUGAAAUCGCAGUAGCUGCUUAACUAAACCUUAAGCUAGUUACCGUCUUCUCCAUCUUUGUUCGCGGGGUGGAAGCGGACGUCAGCACAGCGAACUGGCCUCAUAAUUUCUGUUUCCGGAUUAUGGGGUGAGAUUCAGGAAACUGGCCGGCAUGGAAUCCUGUCCGUGGGAGUUAGUGCCGGUGAGAUCUAGAUCGCGGACUAAACAUGUAGACGCCUUCAGUUGACGACUUUCGGACGGGGGUUCGAUUCCCCCCGCCUCCACCA
rnacentral:tmRNA from 1 species